AACUUUCGACAACGGAUCGCUUGGCUCUCGCAUCGAUGAAGAACGCAGCGAAAUGCGAUAAGUAAUGUGAAUUGCAGAAUUCAGUGAAUCAUCGAAUCUUUGAACGCAUCUUGCGCUCCUUGGUAUUCUGAGGAGCAUGCCUGUUUGAGUGUCAUUAAAUUCUCAACUACACUGACUUGGUGUGGCUUGGAUUUGGGGGUUGUGGGCUUUUUGUAGUCUGCUCCCCUGAAAUUAAUUAGCGGUACCUUGGUGGAACUGUCUACAGGUGUGAUAAUUAUCUACAUCCUAGACAUCUGCUGGAAUGCUGCUUUCUAGACCUUACUUGUAUUGACAAUCUUGACCUCAAAUCAGGUAGGACUACCCGCUGAACUUAAGCAUAUCAAUAAGCGGAGGCU
rnacentral:misc_RNA from 1 species